rnacentral:tmRNA from 1 species
GAGGAAAGUCCAUGCUCGCACGGGCUGCGAUGCCCGUAGUGUUUGUGCUUGGUGAAACAAUAAACCAAGGUAGGAGUGUCAUGCCUAACGGCUGAAGAAAGUGCUAAGUCUUUUGAUAUGCAUGAGUAUUCUGUAAAAGUGCCAAAGAGACGAGACUUACUGGAAACGGUAAGAUUGGAACGUGGUAAACCCCUCAAGCGAGCAACCCAAACAUAUGGUCGGGGCACUUGACUAGCCGAAUUGAAGGCGUGGUCGAGG